rnacentral:rRNA from 1 species
CAUAAGAGGUACAGCCUGCCCAGUGACUCUGUUUAACGGCCGCGGUAUCCUAACCGUGCGAAGGUAGCGUAAUCACUUGUUCUUUAAAUGAGGACUAGUAUGAAUGGCAUCACGAGGGUUAUACUGUCUCCUUUCCCUAAUCAGUGAAACUAAUCUCCCCGUGAAGAAGCGAGGAUGAACAUAUAAGACGAGAAGACCCUAUGGAGCUUUAAACUAGAUUACAUUUGCCUAAAAUACAAAAAUUUCAGAAAAAUAAACCUACCUAAGCAUUUUGAUAAUUAGUUUUGGGUUGGGGUGACCGCGGAGUAAAAAACACCCUCCGCAUUGAACAAGAUUNUUUCUUUAGCCAAAAGCUACGACUUUAAGCAUCAAUAAAUUGACAUUAUUGACCCAAUAUUUUGAUCAACGAACCAAGUUACCCUAGGGAUAACAGCGCAAUCUACUUCAAGAGCCCCUAUCGACAAGUGGGUUUACGACCUCGAUGUUGGAUCAGGGUAUCCCAGUGGUGCAGCCGCUACUAAAGGUUCGUUUGUUCAA